AAAAACAGAAAAGAAAAGAAAGCAGGGGUCAUUGAACUCUAACGUUCAACUCUCUCUCUCUCUCCAGAUCGCUCCUCUCCUGUCUCACUCUGAGUCUUCUCUCACUCUUUUCUUCAUCCAACUCUCUUCUUUACCCAGAAAUCAUAGUCUUCCUCUCUCUUUCAUUCUGAAAUCCCAAAUAGGGAAACCCCCAAUCUCAGAUUCCCCAAAAUCAACCAAAUCUCUAUUGGUCGAACCCUCAAUCUAAAACCCAAAUUUCAUUGACCUAACUCUCGUCUCCACAAUUAGAGGAUAUACACCGAAAAAUAAGACGAAGUUCAUGGAAAUCCUACUUCGGCUGCUCUAGCUCCUUCCUAGGUUCACGCACAUCAAUUUCAAUUCCUCAUGGCUGGGCAUCUUGCUGAGUUUUAUGAGUAUUGCAAGGGCUUGAAUCUUGCUAGAACUUUUCAGUUUCCAAGAUGGUGGAUCUUAGCCCCAGGUCUGAAAUCUUAAGUCCGGCUAGUAUGCGGAGCGUGUCGGCGUCGGAGCUCCGGUGUAUCUCUCUGCCAUCCGUCAAUACCUAGCUGCUGUGGGGUCUUUACUAAUUGAGUUUAUUCAGCAGAUGCAAGUACAAGGUAUGCAGGUUAGGUUUCCUAUAAUUUCCUUAUAGGGGCUAGAUGCCCAUAAUUGGGGAGCUGUCACCGGUAAACAUCAAAUAUCAGUGAUUUGGGGAGAGGGAAUUUCAGUAGCAAGAUGAUCGAUUUAGCUAUGAAGACCACCUCAAACUCUUCGCCGACAACUCUAGAUCGAUCAAGACCAAGCUUACAGUUCAGUAAUCAAUGGUGUUUCUAUUCAUGUUAUUAGUUAACUAAUAAAGAAAGCCUUUAACCCUCUUAAUAUGUUCUUUAAUUUUCUAGGAUUAUUCAUAUGAUAUGAAGUAGAGUAUUCAUAAUUAUGUUGGGCUUUGAUUUUUGCGUGUGCUUUUGUCAAAGAUGGAUGCUUUUGUUUUCAAUGGGAUUUCCUAUUGGUGGUGGCAUCAAAAUGAUUUUGUUUUUGGUUUUUGUUUUACUGAAAUUGGGAGGUUGCUGUUAGCCUAAUCGCCAAAUUCAAAACCACUGGAAGUAGAUCUUGGUAAGGAGAAAUGUCUUUAAUAAUCUGCCAUCUUCAACCCAACUCAACUCAGGCAUUUUCUUGGUAAGGCAUUUUCUUUGUCCAUCUUCAGUAGAUUUUGAUAAGGAGAAAUUUCUUGGUAAGGCAUUUUCUUUCUCCAUCUUCAGCAGAUCUUGGUAAGGAGAAAUUUCUUGGUAAGGCAUUUUCUUUCUCCAUCUUCAGCAUUUCCAUCAACAACCCAACUUAGGCAUCCUCUUCCUCCUUCUCCUUCUACAUUAGGUAAAGGUCAUUUUUCAUGUUUGCUUUGCUAAGUUCUUUGUUUUGAUUUCUGGGAAUUUGCUAGAAAAUUUUUUACAUUGGAAUUUAGCAACAGGUGGUUAAACAUAUAUAGCCCAUAAGUGGAUGAGUUGAGAGUGUGGUUUUGAUAUGGGUUUCAAAGUUUUUGACUGUUUGUGUUUGAAUGCCACUCCUUGAAAUUGGUAUCAUGUGUUCACUUACUAGUAAGCAUAAUAUUUCGAGCACUUUUGGUAGUAGUAGAAUUGUGUUUUCUUGUGUCUUGUGUUUGAGUAAUAAAGUCUAGAAUGAGAUGAGAAUGUCUUGAGAGUGUAAGUAACAAGGUUUUAGAUAGUCUGAUGUUGUAGGACAUAAUGAAAGAGAUGUAAAAUGUAGAAAUAGUCAGUGACUGAUUUACACCAUCCUUCAAAACAUAUUAAUUGUGUACAAAAAAUAUAUGAAUAAGGGAUAGUUUACUCCCAUUUUCUCCAUUUUCGGUACCCUAAUUUGCAGUCUUGAUGCUUCAUGAGCAAGCAGCUCCUGCAGUUACUUAAAGAAUGCUAGCUACGUAUACUUUGACUCCAACUACUUGAAGUUUGACAAGUUCGAUGAUCUUUGCCCGCUUGCACUUGUUAAAGAGAUAGCAUUGGAGGGCAGAACUUCAAGUUGCAAUGAGUUAAAGGUUGUCACUUUUGGUAGUCGAAAUACAAGAAAACUAAGAUGCUAAAGAAUUUGUUCAAGAAAUUGUCCAACCAUCAAUGUAGAUUUUAUAAGAGGCCUGUUUUAGAACAGUAUGUAUUUGUAUCAGCUUUUGUUGUCCCAAGUAGAUGGGCAUCCAUUUGAAUGCUUUUCUUCUUUCAAUGUUGGCUUGGAUGAUUGGGAAGUCCUCCCUUUUAAAGUUUGAAUGCUUUUCUUCAAAUAGUAUGAGUUGGAUUACUCAUUUCAUA